GUUCCAUGAAUAAGCAAGAAAUAACAAAUAAAACUGGAAAGAUAAGGAGAAGAUUAGCAUGGCCCCCUAAGCAAGGAUGACAUGCACACAUCCAGAAAUAACAAAUAAAACU
rfam:Nicotiana attenuata strain TT chromosome 8, whole genome shotgun sequence.